UAACGCGUGGGUAACCUGCCUCAUACAGGGGGAUAACAGUUAGAAAUGACUGCUAAUACCGCAUAAGCGCACAGUGCUGCAUGGCACAGUGUGAAAAACUCCGGUGGUAUGAGAUGGACCCGCGUCUGAUUAGCUAGUUGGUAAGGUAACGGCCUACCAAAGCGACGAUCAGUAGCCGACCUGAGAGGGUGACCGGCCACAUUGGGACUGAGACACGGCCCAA
rnacentral:rRNA from 1 species